CUACAUACUUUCUCACACACAUCCCUCUCCAAGUUGCCUCUCUUUAUUGAUUUACUUUUUUUUUUAUACCAGGAAUUGUACUCAGGGGGACUCGACCACUGAGCCACAUCCCCAGCCCUUUUUUGUAUUUUAUUUAGAGACAGGGUCUCACUGAGUUACUUAGUGCCUCACAGUUGCUGAGGCUGGCUUUGAACUCGUGAUCCUCCUGCCUCAGCCUCCCAAGCCGAUUGGGUUACAGGUGUGCGCCACCACACUUGGCUGAACUUAUUUAUUUUGUUUACUUUUUUGUGGUGCUGGGAUUGUACCCAGGGGUGCUAUACCACUGAGCUACAUCCCUAGCCCUUUUUAUUUUGAGACAAACUCUCAUUAUGUGGCCCAGGCUAGCUAUGAAUUUUCAAUCCUCCUGACUCAACCUCCUGAGAACAUGGGAUUACAGGUGAACACUACUGAACCAGGCCCAAAUUCCCUUUUCAAAGAAGCACCAGGCCAGGCACAGUGGUCUAUGUGCCUGUAAUCCCAACAACUCAAGAGACUAAGUCAGGAGAAAGAUCACAAGUUUAAAGCCAGCCUGGGCAACUUACUGAGACAAUCUCAAAAUAAAAAAUAAAAGGGCUGGAGAUGUAGCUUGAUGGUAAAGCAUCCCUGGGUUCAAUUCUUGAUCCAAAAAAAAAAAAAGAGCCAGACAAAAACUCAUCUCUGUCUUGAAAUUGCCCACAUUCUUUCUUGAACAUGUAUCUACUUUCCUAAAU
rnacentral:lncRNA from 1 species